rnacentral:tRNA from 1 species
GCUCUAGUAGCUUACACCCAUAAAGCAUUGCUCUUGUAAAUCAAAGACGGGUCACCCCCUAAAGCA